GCUUACCAAGGCUUACGGGUAGCCGGCCUGAGAGGGUGAUCGGCCACACUGGGACUGAGACACUGCCCAGACUCCUACGGGAGGCUGCAGUCGAGGAUCAUUCGCAAUGCGCGAAAGCGUGACGAUGCGACGCUGCGUGGAGGAUGACGGCCUUAGGGUUGUAAACUCCUGUCAUGAGGGAAAAACGGCCAGUAGGAUAAUACCCUAUUGGUGUGAUGGUACCUCAAGAGGAAGCCACGGCUAACUCUGUGCCAGCAGCCGCGGUAAUACAGAGGUGGCGAGCGUUGUUCGGAUUUACUGGGCGUAAAGGGUGCGUAGGCGGUUAUGUAUGUCGGAUGUGAAAUCCCAGGGCUCAACUUUGGAAUUGCAUCCGAAACUGCAUAACUUGAGUGCAGGAUGGGAGAGCGGAAUUCUUGGUGUAGCGGUGAAAUGCGUUGAUAUCAAGAAGAACACCGGCGGCGAAGGCGGCUCUCUGGAAUGUUACUGACGCUGAGGCACGAAAGCUGGGGGAGCGAACAGGAUUAGAUACCCUGGUAGUCCCAGCCGUAAACGGUGCACACUUGGUGUUGGAGGUAUUGACCCCUCCAGUGCCGGAGCUAACGCGUUAAGUGUGCCGCCUGGGGAGUACGGCCGCAAGGCUAAAACUCGAAGAAAUUGACGGGGGCCCGCACAAGCGGAGGAGCAUGUGGCUUAAUUCGAUGCAACGCGAAGAACCUUACCAGGGCUUGACAUGGGGACCCUUCGGGGGUGGGUGCGAAAGUACCCUUUACCAUCACAGGUGCUGCAUGGCUGUCGUCGGUUCGUGCCGUGAGGUGUUGGGUUAAGUCCCGCAACGAACGCAACCCCUGUGGUUAGUUGCCACUUCAGGUGAUGAGCCUGGAAGCACUCUAGCCAGACUGCCCGUACAAGCGGGAGGAAGGUGGGGAUGACGUCAAGUCAGUAUGGCCCUUACGCCCUGGGCUGCACACGUGCUACAAUGGCCGGUCCAAAAGGAAGCAAUACCGCGAGGUGGAGCAAAUCCUCAAAGCCGGCCCCAGUUCGGAUUGGAGUCUGCAACUCGACUCCAUGAAGUUGGAUUCGCUAGUAACGGCGUAUCAGCUACGACGCCGUGAAUACGUUCCCGGGCCUUGUACACACCGCCCGUCACAUCAUGAAAGCCGUCUGCACCCGAAGUCACUGAUCUAAUCUUUCGAGAAGGAAGGUGCCGAAGGUGUGGGUGGUGAUUGGGAUGAAGUCGUAACAAGGUA
rnacentral:rRNA from 1 species